rnacentral:miRNA from 1 species
UUGUGAGAGAAAAAUACUGUUGGC